AUACGGAGGGUACGAACGUUAAUCGGAAUUACUGGGCGUAAAGCGCGCGUAGGCGGUUCGAUAAGUCUGAUGUGAAAGCCCUGGGCUCAACCUGGGAACUGCAUUCGAUACUGCCAGGCUAGAGUAUGGUAGAGGGAAGCGGAAUUUCCGGUGUAGCGGUGAAAUGCGUAGAUAUCGGAAGGAACACCAGUGGCGAAGGCGGCUUCCUGGACCAAUACUGACGCUGAGGUGCGAAAGCGUGGGGAGCAAACAGGAUUAGAAACCCUAGUAGUCC
rnacentral:rRNA from 1 species